rnacentral:lncRNA from 1 species
GACUUAAUAGUAUGUGUUUAAUAAUAUGUCUUUUUACAGAAUCUCAUCCAUAAAGACAUCCAUAGCAAUCUUCAUAAGCAAAUCUCCACAAUAGCUAAAUUUAGGUUUUACAACUAGUCUGAGCAACAAAUAGUGUACUAGAUUGCCGCUAAAUCUAGGAUCCCCCAUGGCCAGAAAAUGACCAAAAAUUACUUUUUGAAUAGCCCAAAUUGAGUAUCAGUUAACUUAGUCUGUAUAUGC